ACCGUGGUAAUUCCUAGAGCUAAUACAUGCUUCCAACCCCGACUUCGGAAGGGGUGUAUUUAUUAGAUAAAAAACCAAUGCCCUUCGGGGCUCCUUGGUGAUUCAUAAUAACUCAACGAAUCGCAUGGCCUUGUGCUGGCGAUGGUUCAUUCAAGUUUCUGCCCUAUCAACUUUCGAUGGUAAGAUUUUGGCUUACCAUGGUCUCAACGGGUAACGGGGAAUUAGGGUUCUAUUCCGGAGAGGGAGCCUGAGAAACGGCUACCACAUCCAAGGAAGGCAGCAGGCGCGCAAAUUACCCAAUCCCAAUUCGGGGAGGUAGUGACAAUACGUACUGAUACAGGGCUCUUUCGGGUCUUGUAAUUGGAAUGAGUACAAUCUAAAUCCCUUAACGAGGAACAAUUGGAGGGCAAGUCUGGUGCCAGCAGCCGCGGUAAUUCCAGCUCCAAUAGCGUAUAUUAAAUUUGUUGCAGUUAAAAAGCUCGUAGUUGAACCUUGGGUCUGGCCGAUCUGUCUUCCUAAUCGUUGUACGGAUUCGGUCGGAUCUUUCCUUCUGGGGAAUCCUAUGCCCUUUACUGGGCGUAGUGGGGAACCAGGACUUUUACCUUGAAAAAAUUAGAGUGUUCAAAGCAGGCCUUUGCUCGAAUACAUUAGCAUGGAAUAAUAGAAUAGGACAGCAGUUCUAUUUUUGUUGGUUUCUAGGACCGCUGUAAUGAUUAAUAGGGAUAGUCGGGGGGCGUCAGUAUUCAAUUGUCAGAGGUGAAAUUCUUGGAUUUAUUGAAGACUAACUACUGCGAAAGCUUCGCCCAAGGAUGUUUUCAUUAAUCAGUGAACGAAAGUUAGGGGAUCGAAGACGAUUAGAUACCGUCGUAGUCUUAACCAUAAACUAUGCCGACUAG
rnacentral:rRNA from 1 species